CAAGUCCACGAUACCCAGCUAGCGUUCGCUCGAGGAAAAAACACAACCGACGGAAACCCUAGCCACCCACGCUGCCUAGCUCCCCUCCGCCGUCCCAUUCCUCGCCUCCCCUCCGCCGCCCCUUCGCUUCCUCCUCUCUGCCACGUCCAGCUCCCCAUGAACAGGACCGAGAGGAUGUAGCCCUUCCUCACCGGCGCUCGGUCCGCAGAUGCGACGCGCGAGAGUGAAGGAUGAGCGGCAGUGGCCCACUCCCUCCUCUUCGCUGCCGCCCUCCCUCCCCUGGCCAUCGCCUCUCUUUCCCCACACCGCUUCCUCUCAUUCUCCCAGCGGGCUCGUUUCUCCUCUGUGGACGAAAUCCAUGGGAAUCACGAUCGACAGCGUGGAGGAUGCGGCAGUGGCAUGGGAAGUCAACGGCGCCGACGAGGAUGGAGACAGAAAAUCAGUGGUUCGGUUUGCAUCUUAUAUUUGUCAUGUGGCCGACGUACUGGGCUCCAGCGCCGUCGUUGGAGGCGAGGGCCAUCGUGGGCGUGCAGACUGCGCACAGCUUUGCCUCGCAUGGAUGUCACUGCUUCGACUGCCACCCAAACGUGUAUGCCAAGAAACAUCCAUCGGAAUAUAUUAAGUACUUCCAUUUGUAUAGAUAUAAAGUGAAAAAUCCAUAUAUUGUGAAGAACAUUGGGUUUAUUGGAUUACCCUUCUUUCAGAACUAAAUGGCCCCUGCCGAAGGAAUGUACUGAUGAUGACUCUACCGCCUAAAUUUACCAAGUAUACUGCUAUGAUGCCCUGCGGUAUUUUAUCUAUGAAGUCAGAUGGGUUCAGUUACUUGAUAUUGCUUGAGGAGAUCAAUAGUCUGUAGAAUAUUAGUUGCUUGAGGAGAUCAAUAGUCUGUGGGAUAUCAAUUGCUUGAGGAGAUCAAUAGUCUGUGGGAUAUCAGUUGAACGUAAACUCGCUAUCGCUGCCUACAAACCAUAACCCACUUAAUCACACUUCGUAUCAUAGGUAUGCGAUGUUGCGUCCUCUUCAUUGUUCUAUUGGUAAAGAGUUUUCGUUUCCUUCCCCGUUGUGUUCUCAGUCUGCUGAUCCAGAGGGACUUAUGUUAAACAUUUCGUUUCUGUACUUGGCACACAAUGCACUCAAUACUAUAGGCUUCUUGAAGGACAAUCUCCGAGAGUUCUUUUAUUCGGUUUGGUUGUCAGAGUUUAUUCAAGAGCCAACAAGCAAGAAAAAAGUUGGAAUGAACAAUCUACAGGGGCAAGUACAUCACCAUAUUAAUCUGUUUUCUUACUGGAUGAUGAGUACAAUUUAGUUCUUGUUUGUGGAAAGCAUACUGAUGAUGAUGGUUCAGGUAAAGAUAUGAUGCAAAAGCAUCGCCGGUAAGUCUUAUUCAGUGGUAUCAUUACAUCUGUCGGUAAAAAACUAAGAACAUGUCUAAAUUAUUAGGCUCGCUUGCUCUAUCAGGCCUGUACUUGUCAAACUUUCUUUUAGGUGACAUUAUUAUUUGAACUAUUUCAUGCCACACGAGGUUCCUUAAUAAAAUUCUGUGAAGUUUUCCUUCCUUGAGGCUACAAUCAUUUAAAUUCAUACUUAUUGUGAGCUGCAGGAAUCAGCUUGCACAAUUUUCCCGAUGGAAUGGUGGUGUUUCUUGGGUCUGUGAAGGGUGUUCGCGUGGGAAUUAACUUGCUUCUGCUCUUGCCUUACAUAAUAUACCUGAUGUGAUGAAAUCAACCCAUCAGCCUUUCUGGUUAAGUAACCUGACUAUUCUUAUCUGAAGCAAACCAAUCCAUGUGAGCACAAGAGGUGAAAGCUUACUAGGAGCUUGAUUCACGUCGAAUAGUUGAUAGAUAUCUCAAACCAAGCUGAAUGAGAAGAAGUAAGUGCAAGCUGUGUUACUUCUUCUGUUUUCUUGUUGCACUUUGGCUCGCAAUAGAAAGAUAAAUCAUGGUGACUGAUAUUACAUUCAGUGGUUGUUAAUUUCUUCUGUCUUAAUUUACCGAGGCAAACAGUUUUGCAUGUCCAAUGCGUGAACCAGAAACUGCAAGAACCAGAAAUCAGCUGUUUACAUAAAUAUGAUGGCUAUCUAGGUGAACCACUUCGUGCUUCAUGUGCACAUUAGUUCAAAGAAUCAAAUUUCAUUCAAGGCAAGCUACACAGGUGGAAAAGCAAUUGGCUGAAAACUCUCUCUGAUGUUUGAGAAGCAAACUCUUGCAAAUAGCUCAGUGGACAAGAGCUAUAUCAAACUGUUGAUGACAGAAUUCUGUAUUUGCUUUAUUGUGGAGUUACCAAGUGAUGCCUUGAUUGGGCUGCCAUUGUACGGCGAGGAGGCGCCCCCCCAAGCAUUAGUCAAGAAUUAAAUCAUGCGACAUGAAUCACGCUACAAAGGAAAAAAUCAAUCUCACAUAAAUGACCAGGUAUCACGCUCCAAAGGUAUGUAAUCUCACAAUAACGCUAACACAAUUAAAUCAAUUAAAUGAGAACCUGGGGCGAGAUAUAUGCAGUCACAAAGGUACGUAAUCUCACCCCAGACAUUAGGCAGGUAUCAUCUCAUGCAAAAGAUAUGUAAUCUCAUCAAGGCUAAAAUGACGCAAUCUCAUCACUGUCAAUUAAAGGGGACCCUGAAUUGCACCCAGGAUGCAGUCAUAUCUCUACUACUAAAGCAGGACCUGCAAUCUUCAAACUACCUGGUACAGGCCAUCUUCAGAUGAUCGUCCGUGCAUGUCGCUGCUGCAGACAAGCCGCCAAGAUCUACCGGUACACUGCAGGUACAAGCCAUAAUAAGAAUUUCCUUCAAGAUGUGAUAUCUUCGUGAUCUAAAGUUGUUCAUCAUCAAGGGCGGUGAGAGGUACACGCCAUCUUCGGAGGAUUAUCCACGCCCGUCCCUGUUGCAGCGCUGCCCGGCCGCCGAGAUCCACUGGUGCUGUCGGUGCGUACGGCGGCCAUGGCGGCCAUGGCUUCCAUGGCGUCGAAGGCUGAUGACCAGGCUGGAGGCGAGUAAUGCCUAUGUAUGUAUUGAAGAUUCUGGCUCCAAAGCGAGGAGAAAUUGUUAGUCAGAUUGGUGAUGCACAGAGAGCGAAACUUCAUCAUCAUGGCAGACUUCUAUCACUUAAGUAAUAACAAGAAGCCUGAGAUAGUGAUCUUUUCUAGAAUAGGCGAUUAUGUUCCUGUUUAUAACAUUAUUCGUAUUAAUUAGCAAUUACAUUGUCAUCAGUAUUUUUCAACUGUUUUUUCGGCUGGCAACAACUUAGCCAAAGAGAAGGGCUUGUGAACUCCCGGAAAGAUUGAACUAUCAAAGUGGCCAAUUUUCGAAGCUAUUUUUACUAGCAUACAAAGUAGGCAAAUAACACAGGUAAAUUCAGGCCUUCAGUGUUGCCACUUGCUGAUUUUUGGGAUAAUUGGGUUUCGUAAAGUGUUGCUUCACUAGCCUGUUUUAUGCAUAGUUGUAAUGUUUUAAUGAAUUUUGAUCCAUGAAAAGGGCCGAAGGCUGUUGCUUGGAAAUAAAGAAGAA